rnacentral:rRNA from 1 species
GACGAACGCUGGCGGCGUGCUUAACACAUGCAAGUCGAACGGAAAGGCCUGCUUUCCCUUGUGGAUUGCGGGUACUCGAGUGGCGAACGGGUGAGUAACACGUGAGUGAUCUGCCCCCAACUUGGGUAUAAGCCUGGGAAACUGGGUCUAAUUCCCGAUAGGACUGCAGGGUGGUGCCUGUGGUGGAAAACGAUUUUCUAGUGGUUGGGGAUGAGCUCGCGGCCUAUCAGCUUGUUGGUGGGGUAAUGGCCUACCAAGGCGGCGACGGGUAGCCGGCCUGAGAGGGUGGACGGCCGCAUUGGAGCUGAGAUACGGCCCAGACUCCUACGGGAGGCAGCAGUGGGGAAUAUUGCACAAUGGGCGGAAGCCUGAUGCAGCGACGCCGCGUGGGGGAUGACGGCCUUCGGGUUGUAAACUCCUUUCGACCGCGAGGAAGCCACCUGGUUGGAAGGGUGGUGACGGUAGUGGUAGAAGAAGCACCGGCUAACUACGUG